rnacentral:rRNA from 1 species
CAGUAGCCGCGGGAAAACGAAGGGGGCUAGCGUUGUUCGGAAUUACUGGGCGUAAAGCGCACGUAGGCGGACAUUUAAGUCAGGGGUGAAAUCCCGGGGCUCAACCCCGGAACUGCCUUUGAUACUGGGUGUCUAGAUUAUGGAAGAGGUGAGUGGAAUUCCGAGUGUAGAGGUGAAAUUCGUAGAUAUUCGGAGGAACACCAGUGGCGAAGGCGGCUCACUGGUCCAUUACUGACGCUGAGGUGCGAAAGCGUGGGGAGCAAACAGGAUUAGAUACCCCCGUAGUCCCUGUCUCUUAUAC